rnacentral:rRNA from 1 species
CGUUCAGGGGUAAACCUGAGAAACCCAAAAGAUCGAAUGGGGAGAUUCAUCGUCAGCGAUUUUGGUACGUGUGCGGUUCGCGAUGCCGGAGACUAAUUCGGUCUCAUGGUACGCGUUCGCAUGUUUUUUAUUGCCAUUAUCGUCGGCGUGCACUUCUCCCCUAGUAGGACGUCGCGACCCGUUGGGUGUCGGUCUACGGCCCGGUGUGUAGCCUGUCACGUGUGCGCUUCACGGCGUUACGCGGUACAGACACUCGGUUGCCCGACCGGCUGCCCGGCGGUACUCGCACGGUAUCUGGCCGCAAAUAUUCGAACUGCGUCCGGCCCGUCGCAAGCGAGGCAAGUGUUCCCGGCUGUACGGAUCUAAUGCCGUCACCGGGCCUUGCCAGCUGUUGGCUGACGGUGUCCUAGGACAGGCUAACCAAAAUUAUGAUACCGGUCGGCGACGCUACUGCUUUGGGUACUUUCAGGACCCGUCUUGAAACACGGACCAAGGAGUCUAACAUGUGCGCGAGUCAUUGGGAACUAUUAAGCCUAAAGGCGCAAUGAAAGUGAAGGUCGGCCUUGCGCCGACCGAGGGAGGAUGGGCCGCGUCACGAUGCGGUCCCGCACUCCCGGGGCGUCUCGUUCUCAUUGCGAGAAGAGGCGCACCCAGAGCGUACACGUUGGGACCCGAAAGAUGGUGAACUAUGCCUGGUCAGGACGAAGUCAGGGGAAACCCUGAUGGAGGUCCGUAGCGAUUCUGACGUGCAAAUCGAUCGUCGGAACUGGGUAUAGGGGCGAAAGACUAAUC